rnacentral:rRNA from 1 species
CUAGGUGGUUAUAGCGAGGGGGUUCCACCUCUUCCCAUUCCGAACAGAGAAGUUAAGCCCUUCAGCGCCGAUGGUACUGCGAAAGUGGGAGAGUAGGUCGCCGCCUUUU